AGAUUUCACUAUAAAAGACAAUGAUGGCGUAUGUAACGUCACCACUCCCCCGCUCGGGCGGCUGUCGAUUUGAAUUGCGCUAAAGGUAUGGGGACCCUUG
rnacentral:lncRNA from 1 species